rnacentral:rRNA from 1 species
GUAGGGAAUAUUGGGCAAUGGUCGGAAGACUGACCCAGCCAUGCCGCGUGCAGGAAGACGGCCCUCUGGGUUGUAAACUGCUUUUAUCUGGGAAGAAAAAGGCCAUGCGUGGCAAAUUGCCGGUACCAGAUGAAUAAGCACCGGCUAACUCCGUGCCAGCAGCCGCGGUAAUACGGAGGGUGCGAGCGUUGUCCGGAUGUAGUGGGUUUAAAGGGUGCGUAGGCGGCUGAUUAAGUCAGCGGUGAAAGACUUCGGCUUAACCGGAGCAGUGACGGUGAUACUGGUGGGAUUGAGUGUCGGAGGGGUACAUGGAAUUGAUGGUGUAGCGGUGAAAUGCAUAGAUACCAUCAGGAACACCGAUAGCGAAGGCAUUGUACUGGCCGACAACUGACGCUGAUGCACGAAAGUGUGGGGAUCGAACAGGAUUAGAAACCCGGGUAGUCC